rnacentral:rRNA from 1 species
GACAAAUUGUCGGCGUGCUACACAUGCAGUCGAGCGGAGGGGAUAGGAGCUUGCUUCUUGAACCUUAGCGGCGGACGGGUGAGUAACACGUGGGUAAUCUGCCCUUGAGAGGGGGAUAACAGGUCGAAAGGCCUGCUAAUACCGCAUAACGCUAAGAUGCUGCAUGGCGUCUUAGCCAAAGGUUAAUUCCGCUCAAGGAUGAGCCCGCGGCCCAUUAGCUAGUUGGUGAGGUAACGGCUCACCAAGGCAACGAUGGGUAGCCGGCCUGAGAGGGUGGUCGGCCACACUGGGACUGAGACACGGCCCAGACUCCUACGGGAGGCAGCAGUGGGGAAUAUUGCGCAAUGGGGGAAACCCUGACGCAGCGACGCCGCGUGAGCGAUGAAGGCCUUCGGGUUGUAAAGCUCUGUCUUCCCUGACGAUAAUGACGGUAAGGGAGGAGGAAGCCACGGCUAACUACGUGCCAGCAGCCGCGGUAAUACGUAGGUGGCAAGCGUUGUCCGGAAUUAUUGGGCGUAAAGGGUGCGUAGGCGGCUCUUUAAGUGGGAUGUGAAAUCCCUAGGCUCAACCUAGGAACUGCAUUCCAAACUGGAGAGCUAGAGUGCAGGAGAGGAAAGCGGAAUUCCCAGUGUAGCGGUGAAAUGCGUAGAGAUUGGGAGGAACACCAGUGGCGAAGGCGGCUUUCUGGACUGUAACUGACGCUGAGGCACGAAAGCGUGGGGAGCAAACAGGAUUAGAUACCCUGGUAGUCCACGCUGUAAACGAUGGGUACUAGGUGUAGGGGGCGAAGCCCUCUGUGCCGCAGCUAACGCAUUAAGUACCCCGCCUGGGGAGUACGGUCGCAAGAUUAAAACUCAAAGGAAUUGACGGGGGCCCGCACAAGGAGGGGGAGCAUGUGGUUUAAUUCGAAGCAACGCGAAGAACCUUACCAGGGCUUGACAUCCACCGAACCCUGUGGAAACACGGGGGUGCCCUUCGGGGAACGGUGAGACAAGGUGGUGCAUGGUUGUCGUCAGCUCGUGUCGUGAGAAUGUUGGGGUUAAGUCCCGCAACGAGCGCAACCCCUGCCUUUAGUUGCCAGCAAAUUCGUUGGGCACUCUAAGAGGGACUGCUUGGGUUAACCAAGAGAAGGUGGGGAUGACGUCAAUCAUCAUGCCCCGUAUGCUCUGGCUAACCACGUGCUACAAUUGCGUACAAAAGAAGAAGCAAGUUCCGCGAGAGAAGACAUCUAACCGGUUCAGUUCGGAUGAGCUUGCCAAUCUGCCUACUAUGAAGAGCUGGGAAGUGCGUCA